rnacentral:rRNA from 1 species
CUAUCCAUUGUUGGACGGCGAGUCCUCGUCAGAAGUGUACUGUCAGCACUCCCCACUUUUGCCUUGACAGUCUUGAAGGUGCCGAAGAAACUACUAGCCGAGGUAGACAAGAUCCAAAGACGUUUUCUCUAGGCUCAAGAUGAUGCGAUCAGUGGCGGGAAAUGCAAAGUGAGCUGGCUGGAGGUGUGCACUCCGAUUGACAAUGGUGGCCUUGGCAUCUCCAACUUACAACGCUUCAGCCAUGCACUGAGGCUCAUAUGGCUCUGGCUCUCUUGGCUCACACCCAACAGGCCCUGGGUGGGCAUGCAGCUGCCCUACGAUCAAGGAGACAGAAAGCUUUUCAACGCCUCAACCACGGUGACGCUAGGUGAUGGAAAGACGAUCAGUUUCUGGGAUAGUUCCUGGACUAGUGCAGGCACGUUCAAAAUGGAAUUCCCUGAGCUACACAAGCACUCAAGAAGGAAGAACAAAAAAGUUCAUGCGGCACUCCUCGAUGACACCUGA